rnacentral:rRNA from 1 species
UACGCUGGCGGCAGGCCUAACACAUGCAAGUCGAGCGCGCCUUCGGGUGAGCGGCGGACGGGUUAGUAACGCGUGGGAACGUGCCCUUCUCUACGGAAUAGCCUCUGGAAACGGAGAGUAAUACCGUAUACGCCCUUUGGGGGAAAGAUUUAUCGGAGAAGGAUCGGCCCGCGUUAGAUUAGGUAGUUGGUGGGGUAACGGCCUACCAAGCCUACGAUCUAUAGCUGGUUUUAGAGGAUGAUCAGCAACACUGGGACUGAGACACGGCCCAGACUCCUACGGGAGGCAGCAGUGGGGAAUCUUAUACAAUGGGGGCACCCCUGAUCUAGCCAUGCCGCGUGAGUGAUGAAGGCCUUAGGGUCGUAAAGCUCUUUCGCCUGUGAUGAUAAUGACAGUAUCAGGUAAAGAAACCCCGGUAACUCCGU